CGGUGUAUAGCUCAGUGGUAGAGCACAGUGCUUAGCAUGUGCAAGAUCCUGGUUUCAAUCACCAGUACUUCCA
rnacentral:tRNA from 1 species